GACGAACGCUGGCGGCGUGCUUAACACAUGCAAGUCGAACGGCAAGGCCCUGCUUUUGUGGGGUGCUCGAGUGGCGAACGGGUGAGUAACACGUGAGUAACCUGCCCUUGACUUUGGGAUAACUUCAGGAAACUGGGGCUAAUACCGGAUAGGAGCUCCUGCUGCAUGGUGGGGGUUGGAAAGUUUCGGCGGUUGGGGAUGGACUCGCGGCUUAUCAGCUUGUUGGUGGGGUAGUGGCUUACCAAGGCUUUGACGGGUAGCCGGCCUGAGAGGGUGACCGGCCACAUGAAGACUGAGAUACGGCCCAGACUGGUACGGGAAGCAGCAGUGGGGAAUAUUGAACAAUGGGCGGAAGCCUGGUUCAGCGACGCCGCGUGCGGGAUGAAGGCCUUCGGGUUGUAAACCGCUUUCGCCUGUGACGAAGCGUGAGUGACGGUAAUGGGUAAAGAAGCACCGGAUAACUACGUG
rnacentral:rRNA from 1 species